GACUUGUAUAGUGGGAUCGGUUGCAGUCGCCUCCGUGGCAGCAGUGCAUGAUUCAUUCGCAUUGGUGAAGCUGACGGUGGACGCGCUUGGGAGAUGAAGCCUAGGUCGUUAACUCCUGUCAUCAGGGAGUAAUGGCUUUACGUAGUAACUGACGUGGGCAGUGAUAGUACCUGAGAGGAAGGGACGGCAAACUUCGUGCCAGCAGCCGCGGUAUACGAAGGUCUCAAGCGUUGUUCGGAUUUACUGGGCGUAAAGCGUCUGUAGGCGGAGUGGUAAGUCAGAUGUGAAAUCCCGGGGCUCAACCCCGGAACUACAUCCGAUACUGCCACCCUAGAGGGUCGGAGGGGAGUCUGGAAUUCUCGGUGUAGCAGUGAAAUGCGUAGAUAUCGAGAGGAACACUAGUGGCGAAGGCGAGACUCUGGACGACACCUGACGCUGAGAGACGAAGGCCAGGGUAGCGAAAAGGAUUAGAUACCCUUGUAGUCCUGGCAGUAAACGGUGCACGCUUGGUGUGGGGAGGUUCGACCCUCUCCGUGCCGGAGCUAACGCGUUAAGCGUGCCGCCUGGGGAGUACGGUCGCAAGAUUAAAACUCAAAGAAAUUGACGGGGACCCGCACAAGCGGUGGAGCAUGUGGCUUAAUUCGAUGCAACGCGAAGAACCUUACCUGGGCUUGACAUGUUAGUCGUAGAUUUGUGAAAGCUUAUCGUCACUUCGGGUGGACUAUCACAGGUGCUGCAUGGCUGUCGUCAGCUCGUGUCGUGAGAUGUCAGGUUAAGUCCUAUAACGAGCGCAACCCCUAUGAACUGUUGCCAGCGAGUAAUGUCGGGGACUCUGUUCAGACUGCCCAGAUUAACUGGGAGGAAGGAGGGGAUGACGUCAAGUCAGUAUGGCCCUUACGCCCAGGGCUGCACACGUGCUACAAUGUCCAGUACAAUAUGAACCGAUACCGCGAGGUGGAGGAAAUCUCAAAAACUGGGCUCAGUUCGGAUUGUAGGCUGCAACUCGCCUACAUGAAGUUGGAAUCGCUAGUAAUGGUACAUCAGCUACGGUACCGUGAAUACGUUCCCGGGUCUUGUACACACCGCCCGUCACAUCAUGGAAGCCGCUCGCACCCGAAGUAUCUUCAAUUACCACG
rnacentral:rRNA from 1 species